AUUGAACGCUGGCGGAAUGCUUAACACAUGCAAGUCGAACGGCAGCAUGGUGUGUAGCAAUACACACUGAUGGCAAGUGGCGGACGGGUGAGUAACGCGUAGGGAUCUACCCUGUAGUGGGGGACAACCCGGGGAAACUCGGGCUAAUACCGCAUACUACUCUGAGGAGGAAAGCUGGCUCGCACGAGCUGGCGCUAUGGGAGGAACCUGCGUCCGAUUAGCUAGCUGGUGAGGUAAAAGCUCACCAGGGCGAUGAUCGGGAGCUGGUCUGAGAGGAAGACCGAACACACUGUGACGUAGACACGGCCCAGACUCCUACGGGAGGCAGCAGUGGGGAAUAUUAGACAAUGGGGGCAACGCUGAUCCAGCAAUUCGGCGUGUGUGAAGAAGGCCUUCGGGUUGUAAAGCACUUUGGACGGGGAAGAAGGCAUUCUGUUUAAGAGAUGGGAUGUUUGACGGUACCCGUAGAACAAGCACCGGCUAACUCUGUGCCAGCCGCCGCGGUAA
rnacentral:rRNA from 1 species